rnacentral:rRNA from 1 species
AACGAACGCUGGCGGCAUGCCUAACACAUGCAAGUCGAACGAGACCUUCGGGUCUAGUGGCGCACGGGUGCGUAACGCGUGGGAACCUGCCCUUAGGUUCGGAAUAACUCACCGAAAGGGGUGCUAAUACCGGAUAAUGUCUUCGGACCAAAGAUUUAUCGCCUUUGGAUGGGCCCGCGUUGGAUUAGCUAGUUGGUAGGGUAAAAGCCUACCAAGGCGACGAUCCAUAGCUGGUCUGAGAGGAUGAUCAGCCACACUGGGACUGAGACACGGCCCAGACUCCUACGGGAGGCAGCAGUGGGGAAUAUUGGACAAUGGGCGAAAGCCUGAUCCAGCAAUGCCGCGUGAGUGAUGAAGGUCUUAGGGUUGUAAAGCUCUUUUACCCGGGAUGAUAAUGACAGUACCGGGAGAAUAAGCUCCGGCUAACUCCGUG